rnacentral:pre_miRNA from 1 species
CGGGGGAGGCCGAAUCCUGGGCUGUGUCCCGGCGCCCAGUGCUCCUGGUCUGUGCUGUUGGAUUCGCGCUCUGGCAGCACUGCUGCCU